rnacentral:rRNA from 1 species
GCGGAGGAAAAGAAACUAACCAGGAUUCCCUCAGUAGCUGCUAGCGAACAGGGAAGAGCCCAGCACCGAAUCCUGCGUGCCUCGCGCGCGUCUGGAAAUGUGGUGUGUGGGAGGGCCCGCACUAUCUCGCUCGGCCGCGUCCGUCCAAGUCCAUCUUGAAAGUGGCCACAGCCCGUAGAGGGUGCCAGGCCCGUAGGACGACGUUCGGCCGGGCGAAAGGGUCUCUCCUCAGAGUCGGGUUGCUUGAGAGUGCAGCUCUAAGUGGGUGGUAAACUCCAUCUAAGGCUAAAUACGACCACAAGACCGAUAGCGAACAAGUACCGUGAGGGAAAGUUGAAAAGAACUUUGAAGAGAGAGUUCAAGAGUACGUGAAACCGUUCAGGGGUAAACGGACGAAAUCUGGAAAAUCGAAGGGAGUGAUUCACGCCCGUGUGCACGUUGUGCCGCGGCGGCCGACGAUGGCGUUCGUCCGGUCCCGUCCGGCCCGCAAGGGUCGGCUCGGGUCGCCGGGCACGUCACGCGCGCGCCGUUCGCGACCUCGUGUGCGGGCUGCACUUCACUCCUUGUAGUACGUCGCGACCCGUUGGGUGUGCGUCCAGGGCCCGUGCGUGGAGCCGACGGGCGUGCGUCGUCGCCCGCGACGUGUUUCGGCACGUCGCGUGGUGCGCGCCGCCCGACGACCGCUGCGGUGACCCGACGCACUCGCCCGACGGUAGAGUCGAGCGCGGUGAAAAGCACCGUCCCCGCCCUCGCGGCGGGGACGGCGGUCACCCUUCGGGGGGACUCGCCGCGCGUCUGCGACGCUCCAUUCAGAGCAUCAUCCGACCCGUCUUGAAGCACGGACCAAGGAGUCUAACAUGUGCGCGAGUCAUUGGGAUAAAUAACUAAACCUAAAGGCGCAAUGAAAGUGAAGGCCGCGGCGAGAGCCCGUGCCACUAGAGGGGAGAUGUCCGUCGUUCGCUCGCGACGCGGACCGCAUCCCCGGGACGUCCCGUCGUCAUCGCGACGCAGCGGGCGUACCCAGAGCGUACACGUUGGGACCCGAAAGAUGGUGAACUAUGCCUGGUCAGGUCGAAGUCAGGGGAAACCCUGAUGGAGGACCGUAGCGAUUCUGACGUGCAAAUCGAUCGUCAGAGCUGGGUAUAGGGGCGAAAGACUAAUCGAACCAUCUAGUAGCUGGUUCCCUCCGAAGUUUCCCUCAGGAUAGCUGGCGUUUGUGAUGUGCCAUUUGCGCGCCCGCCCCCCUCGCGGGGGGCCGUGGCGCGCCGACCAGUCUCAUCUGGUAAAGCGAAUGAUUAGAGGCCUUGGGGCCGAAACGACCUCAACCUAUUCUCAAACUUUAAAUGGGUGAGACACUCGACUUGCUCGAAACGAUGAAGUCGAGGCGCGCGCCCUGUCGUCGCAAGGCGACCUGUGGCGCGCGCACACCGUGGAUGAACGAGUGCCAAGUGGGCCAAUUUUGGUAAGCAGAACUGGUGCUGUGGGAUGAACCAAACGUCGAGUUAAGGCGCCCAAAUCGAUGCUCAUGGGAUACCAUGAAAGGCGUUGGUUGCUUAAGACAGCAGGACGGUGGCCAUGGAAGUCGGAAUCCGCCAAGGAGUGUGUAACAACUCACCUGCCGAAGCAACUAGCCCUGAAAAUGGAUGGCGCUCAAGCAUCGUGCCUAUACUCGACCGUCACCGGCAAUGGAGGCGCGCCGCACUCGAGGCGCGUUCUCGCGAGGCCGUGACGAGUAGGAGGGUCGCGACGGUGUGCGCAGAAGCGUUGGCCGCGAGGCCGCGUGGAGCCGCCGUCGGUGCAGAUCUUGGUGGUAGUAGCAAAUACACUAGAGAGGCCCUGGUGGACUGACGUGGAGAAGGGUUUCGUGUGAACAGCCGUUGCACACGAGUCAGUCGAUCCUAAGCCCCAGGAGAAAUCCGAUAUUGAUGUGCGGUCGCAUAAGCCGAGCGAGAUUUGAGACGGCGUGCGCGCGCGUGGUGUUGAAGCGCGUGUAGCGCGCCCGCGCCCCGUGUCGACGAUGACGCCCGAGUGGCGCGCCCCCGCGCAGUCGGUCACCGCCGCCGCCGCGUGUUUGCCCGUCGGUCGCCCGAGAAGAGGACUGAAACCUCGACUCGCGGUGCCCGGGCAAGCGCGCGCGCGCGCGCGCGUUGGCUGCGGGCUGCCCUGGUGAUUGCGCGCGCCCUCGACGGCGAAAUCGAUGUCGUCACGCGUGGCGAGUGGCGAAUAAAACGUUGCACGCGUGUGCGUGCACACACACGCAAAAACACACACGCGUGCGCGCGCCAUAUCGUAUCACUCACACGGACUUGACCACAUCGGGCGAAAGGGAAUCCGUUUCCUAUUACGGAACCCGGCAGCGGAACCGACCAUGCGGGCCACUGUCGGACGCCCGCCCUUCGUGCGCGUGUCGGUCGUCGCCCCUCGGGGUGGCGGUCGCGCGCGUCGACUGUGGCGGUGUCGCCCGGCAACUCGUCGGGGUAACCCAAAAGGACCCGGAGACGCCGUCGGAUGAUCGAGGCAGAGUUUUCUGUUCUGUAUGAGCGUUCGAGUUCCCUGGAAUCGCCUAGCGCGGAGAUAGGGUUUGGAACGCGAAGAGCACCGCACUUGCGGCGGUGUCUCGAUCUAUCCCUCGGACCUUGAAAAUCCGGGAGAGGGCCACGUGGAGGUGUCGCGCCGGUUCGUACCCAUAUCCGCAGCAGGUCUCCAAGGUGAGCAGCCUCUAGUCGAA